ensembl:lncRNA
CCUGGGGGAGCCUGCAGUGCACCCGAGUGUCAGCAUCUGGGACCGAAUUCCAGGUGCCUUCUCGGCCAGACCUGCAGUGCAGCUGUGCCUGCUGUGGGGGGGUGGAGGUGGGCAGAGGAGGGGUGCGGGCUCCUGUGCCCUCACCUUGGUGAGUGUGGAGGGCUCUGUUAUUGCCUUUGAGUAUGUAAAUGUCUCCCAGCGGGGCUGCGUGGGACUCUUCCACCAGGUUUUGCCUGGAAUGGGGGCCCUGGGGGCCCUGCCCUGUCGCCCCUGCUGUCCUUCUGGCCCUUGCUCCUGUCUCUCUGGCUCCUGGAUGACCUGUCAGCCUCUGCAUUGUCACUUUGGGGUUUGGAGGGAUCACAGCGCUUUCUGCCUGAGGCACCACUGCCCCCCUCAGAGCCUCAGUUUCUCCACUGUGAGGCAGGGGCACCUGUGUCUCCCUUGACGCAGAGCCUGACCUGGGGGCAUCCCUAGUGAAUCCCGCGCCCAGCCCCUGCCCCCCGCCUGCCUUGGGCCCUGCGGUGUCCUGGGCGGUGGACAUGGCCACCAUGUCACAGACAUGAUGAGGCCCAGGGGCCUGAGUCAGUGGCUGCCCACACUCAUGCCACAGUGCCAGCCCUCCCUGAUCCACUGAGCAAGGGGCUUUUCUGCAGCUGCGUGGCGGUCACUUGGCCAGGAGUGGUCUCUGCAGGCGACACAGCGGGAGCAGGACAGGCCACUCACAGCCAGCCAGGAACUGUGGGACGGAAUCUCAGGCCUCAUACCCGCCCCAGGCAGGCACGGCCCCUGGGCCCUCAGGUUGCCUCACGGACUGUUUGCUGUGACGUAGCACAGCCCUCUGUCUUCCCACCUUCGGGGUGUCUCAGUUGUCUGCUCACUGGUUGGCUCCAUGCCGAGCAGACUCGACGCACGUCAGUGCUGGCUGUGGUGGCACCAUCGCAGUGACCUCCCUCUUGGUGAAGGGGGUUCUGCUGUUCCCAGGAAGCUGCUGACUGCUCCUGGGUGUGCCUGACAUGCAGCUGCUCUCUUCGAGGGGUGGGCACGGGCACCCUCAGGCCUGAGGCUCUGCCGUCCUCACUGCUGA